rnacentral:rRNA from 1 species
AGAGUUUGAUCCUGGCUCAGAAUGAACGCUUGCGAGAGGCUUAACACAUGCAAGUUGAACGGGGCCUGAUUUCAGGAAUCCCGUAGCGUACGGGUGAGUAACACGUAAGAAUCUACCUCACAAUGUAAAGAAAUUUUACAUACUCAAAAGGCAUAGAUCCGUUGUGAGAUGAGCUUGCGGAGGAUUAGGUCGUUGGAAGGGUAAAAGCCUCCCAAGCCAAAGAUCCUUAGCUGAUUUGAGAGAAUGAUCAGCCACACUGGGACUGAGACACGGCCCAGACGCUUUCGAGCGGCAGCAGUGAGGAAUUUUGGACACUGGGCGAAAGCCUGAUCCAGCUAUAUCGCGUGAGGGAUGACGGCUAUUUUGGUUGAAAUCCUCUUUUCUGAAUGAGAAGAUUAUGACAGACCUUCAGGAAAAAGUCCCGGCUAAUCUCGUGCCAGCAGCCGCGGUAAUACGAGAGGGGCAAGCGUUAUUCGGAAUGAUUGGGCGUAAAGCGCACGUAGAUGGUUGUGUCCAUGUCUUAAGAAAAGGCCAAAGCUUCACUUUGAACCCUUAAGGGAGACCACAACUGGAGUAAGUGAGAGGAAAAUAGAAUUCCUAAAGGAGAGGUAAAAUUUGUUGAUCUUAGGAGGRAUACCAAAAGCGAAAGCAGUUUUCUUGCACUUGACUGACAUUGAGGUGCGAAAGCGUGGGGAGCAAAAGGGAUUAGAUACCCCUGUAGUCCACGCCAUCAACUAUGACCAUUCCUUGUUGGACUCCUGUUCUGGUUCAGCAAGUUAGCUAACGCGGAAAAUGGUCCGCCUGAGGAGUACGGUCGCAAGACUAAAACUCAAAGGAAUAGACGGGGGCUCACACAAGUGGUGGAACAUGUGGUUUAAUUCGAAACUACGCGCAAAACCUUACCAGUUCUUGACAUAUAUCAUGAUAACAGACUUGUACGAGACUGUUCCAAGAUAUACAGGUGUUGCAUGGCUGUCGUCAGCUCGUGUUGUGAAAUGUUGGAUUAAUUUCCUUAACGAGCGAAACCCCUAAACUGUUUUUUUUAGAAGAGUCACCAACUUUUCCCAUGAACAGUUGACUGCCAGUGAGAGACUGGAGGAAGGAAGGGACGACGUCAAGUCCUCAUGACCCUUAUGAGCUGGGCUACACACGUGUUACAAUGGCAACUACAAAAAGAAGCAAUGAUGAAAGUCGGAGCGAAUCUUCAAAAAGGUGCCCUAGUUCAGAUUGUUCUCUGCAAUUCGAAAACAUGAAGCCGGAAUCACUAGUAAUCGUGGAUCAGCACGCCACGGUGAAUCAGUACCUGAGCCUUGUACUCCCCGCCCGUCACGCUCUGGAAGUU